rnacentral:lncRNA from 1 species
CCGAUAUUUGGAUCCAAAUCACACAUGUCUUAUCCAAUAUAAUCCAGAAUUUAAAACUCGAAUUCAAAUCCAAACCACAUUAACCAAAACCUAACCCAAGCCUAAUGCCUUACCGUAUGAACUUCAAUCAAAAUUACAAACCAAGUUUAAACCAUAUGAAUCAAUCGAUCUCUUCACUAAACCAUAGCCCUAGGACUUGUAUCUACUU